rnacentral:rRNA from 2 species
UGCAAGUCGAACGGUAACAGGUCUUCGGAUGCUGACGAGUGGCGGACGGGUGAGUAACGCGUAGGAAUCUGCCCAUCUGUGGGGGAUACCAGUUGGAAACGACUGUUAAUACCGCAUAAUAUCUGCGGAUUAAAGGUGGCCUUUGUGCUGCCGCAGAUGGAUGAGCCUGCGUUGGAUUAGCUAGUUGGUAGGGUAAGGGCCUACCAAGGCUACGAUCCAUAGCUGAUUUGAGAGGAUGAUCAGCCACAUUGGGACUGAGACACGGCCCAAACUCCUACGGGAGGCAGCAGUGGGGAAUAUUGGACAAUGGGGGAAACCCUGAUCCAGCAAUGCCAUGUGUGUGAAGAAGGCUCUAGGGUUGUAAAGCACUUUAGUUGGGGAGGAAAGCCUAUAAGUUAAUAGCUUGUAGGAAGGACGUUACCCAAAGAAUAAGGACCGGCUAACUCCGUGCCAGCAGCCGCGGUAAUACGGGGGGUCCGAGCGUUAAUCGGAAUUACUGGGCGUAAAGGGUCUGUAGGUGGUUUGUUAAGUCAGAUGUGAAAGCCCAGGGCUCAACCUUGGAACUGCAUUUGAUACUGGCAAACUAGAGUAUGGUAGAGGAAUGGGGAAUUUCUGGUGUAGCGGUGAAAUGCGUAGAGAUCAGAAGGAACACCAAUGGCGAAGGCAACAUUCUGGAUCAAUACUGACACUGAGGGACGAAAGCGUGGGGAUCAAACAGGAUUAGAUACCCUGGUAGUCCACGCUGUAAACGAUGAGUACUAGCUGUUGGAUUCGGUGUAAAGGAUCUAGUGGCGCAGCUAACGCGUUAAGUACUCCGCCUGGGGACUACGGCCGCAAGGCUAAAACUCAAAGGAAUUGACGGGGACCCGCACAAGCGGUGGAGCAUGUGGUUUAAUUCGAUGCAACGCGAAGAACCUUACCUGGUCUUGACAUCCUGCGAACUUUCUAGAGAUAGAUUGGUGCCUUCGGGAACGCAGUGACAGGUGCUGCACGGCUGUCGUCAGCUCGUGUUGUGAAAUGUUGGGUUAAGUCCCGCAACGAGCGCAACCCCUAUUGAUAGUUACCAUCAUUAAGUUGGGUACUCUAUUGAGACUGCCGCUGACAAGGCGGAGGAAGGUGGGGACGACGUCAAGUCAUCAUGGCCCUUACGACCAGGGCUACACACGUGCUACAAUGGGUAUUACAGAGGGCUGCGAAGGUGCGAGCUGGAGCGAAACUCAGAAAGGUACUCUUAGUCCGGAUUGCAGUCUGCAACUCGACUGCAUGAAGUCGGAAUCGCUAGUAAUCGCAGGUCAGAAUACUGCGGUGAAUACGUUCCCGGGUCUUGUACACACCGCCCGUCACACCAUGGGAGUGGGUUGCUCCAGAAGUAGAUAGUUUAACGAAUGGGCGUUUACCACGGAGUGAUUCAUGACUGGGG